rnacentral:tRNA from 6 species
CAAGGUGUAGCGCAGUCUGGUAGCGCAUCUGUUUUGGGUACAGAGGGUCAUAGGUUCGAAUCCUGUCACCUUGA